rnacentral:misc_RNA from 1 species
GGAUGACAAAUGAGAUCUUUUACAUUUUUGCCUUUUCUAAUUUUAAAUCAAUUAUCUACAACUAAAGUAACUAUUAUUGCAAAACAAAUUAAAUAAAUAUUGCAGCCAGAGAAUGAGAAUAUAAAUGGAGCAAACAUCAUCAUUCCCAAUUAGAAUACAAAAAUUAUAUAAGCUUGGUUGUCAUAUAAAAAAAUAGUCAUCAUAAGAGCAGACCUGAAGAGUUGAUUUCUUGUCC